rnacentral:rRNA from 1 species
ACACUCCUGCGGGAGGCAGCAGUGGGGAAUUUUACGCAAUGGGGGAAACCCUGACGUAGCGACACCGCGUGAGCGAAGAAGCCCUUUGGGGUGUAAAGCUCUGUCAGCUGGAACGAAAACAAUGACGGUACCAGCAGAGGAAGCAUCGGCUAACUACGUGCCAGCAGCCGCGGUAAGACGUAGGAUGCGAGCGUUGUCCGGAUUUAUUGGGUGUAAAGAGUUCGUAGGUGGUUUGUUAAGUUUGGUGUUAAAGAUCGGGGCUCAACCCUGGGACUGCACUGAAUACUGGCAGACUCGAGUGUGGUAGAGGCUAGUGGAAUUCCCAGUGUAGCGGUGAAAUGCGUAGAUAUUGGGAAGAACACCGGUGGCGUAGGCGACUAGCUGGGCCAUAACUGACGCUGAGGAACGAAAGCCAGGGGAGCGAAUGGGAUUAGAAACCCCAGUAGUCCCAUG